rnacentral:rRNA from 1 species
UACGUAGGGUGCGAGCGUUGUCCGGAAUUACUGGGCGUAAAGAGCUCGUAGGUGGUUUGUCGCGUUGUUCGUGAAAACUCACAGCUUAACUGUGGGCGUGCGGGCGAUACGGGCAGACUGGAGUACUGCAGGGGAGACUGGAAUUCCUGUGUAGCGGUGGAAUGCGCAGAGUAUCAGGAGGAACACCGGUGGCGAAGGCGGGUCUCUGGGCAGUAACUGACGCUGAGGAGCGAAAGCGUGGGGAGCGAACAGGAUUAGAACCUAC